AGUUUGAUCCUGGCUCAGGAUGAACGCUGGCGGGCGUGCCUAAUACAUGCAAGUCGAGCGAACAGAUAAGGAGCUUGCUCCUUUGACGUUAGCGGCGGACGGGUGAGUAACACGUGGGUAACCUACCUAUAAGACUGGAAUAACUCCGGGAAACCGGGGCUAAUGCCGGAUAAUAUUUAGAACCGCAUGGUUCUAAAGUGAAAGAUGGUUUUGCUAUCACUUAUAGAUGGACCCGCGCCGUAUUAGCUAGUUGGUGGGGUAAUGGCUUACCAAGGCAACGAUACGUAGCCGACCUGAGAGGGUGAUCGGCCACACUGGAACUGAGACACGGUCCAGACUCCUACGGGAGGCAGCAGUAGGAAAUCUUCCGCAAUGGGCGAAAGCCUGACGGAGCAACGCCGCGUGAGUGAUGAAGGUCUUCGGAUCGUAAAACUCUGUUAUUAGGGAAGAACAAAUGUGUAAGUAACUGUGCACGUCUUGACGGUACCUAAUCAGAAAGCCACGGCUAACUACGUG
rnacentral:rRNA from 1 species